UAGUAACUGCGAGUGAAGCGGGAAAAGCUCAAAUUUAAAAUCUGGCGGUCUUUGGCUGUCCGAGUUGUAAUCUAGAGAAGUGUUAUCCGCGCUGGACCGUGUACAAGUCUCCUGGAAUGGAGCGUCAUAGAGGGUGAGAAUCCCGUCUUUGACACGGACUGCCAGGGCUUUGUGAUGCGCUCUCAAAGAGUCGAGUUGUUUGGGAAUGCAGCUCAAAAUGGGUGGUAAAUUCCAUCUAAAGCUAAAUAUUGGCGAGAGACCGAUAGCGAACAAGUACCGUGAGGGAAAGAUGAAAAGAACUUUGGAAAGAGAGUUAAACAGUACGUGAAAUUGCUGAAAGGGAAACGCUUGAAGUCAGUCGCGUUGGCCGGGGAUCAACCUUGCUUUUGCUUGGCGUACUUCCCGGUUGAUGGGUCAGCAUCAAUUUUGACCGUUGGAUAAAGGUUAGGGGAAUGUGGCAUCUUCGGAUGUGUUAUAGCCCUUGGUCGCAUACAACGGUUGGGAUUGAGGAACUCAGCACGCCGCAAGGCCGGGUAUUUAUACUACGUUCGUGCUUAGGAUGCUGGCAUAAUGGCUUUAAUCGACCCGUCUUGAAACACGGACCAAGGAGUCUAACAUGCCUGCGAGUGUUUGGGUGGAAAACCCGAGCGCGUAAUGAAAGUGAAAGUUGAGAUCCCUGUCGUGGGGAGCAUCGACGCCCGGACCAGACCUUUUGUGACGGAUCCGCGGUAGAGCAUGUAUGUUGGGACCCGAAAGAUGGUGAACUAUGCCUGAAUAGGGUGAAGCCAGAGGAAACUCUGGUGGAGGCUCGUAGCGAUUCUGACGUGCAAAUCGAUCGUCAAA
rnacentral:rRNA from 1 species